GGACCCAUAGUGUAGCGGUUAGCACACUGCCCUUUCACGGCAGUAACGGCGGGUUCGAUUCCCCCUGGGUCCACCA
rnacentral:tRNA from 1 species